rnacentral:rRNA from 1 species
UACGUAGGCAGCAAGCGUUGUUCGGAGUUACUGGGCGUAAAGAGUGUGUAGGCGGUCCUGUAAGUUUGGUGUGAAAUCCCCCGGCUCAACUGGGAGGGUGCGCCGAAGACUGCAGGGCUUGAGUAUGGGAGAGGUAAGUGGAAUUCCUGGUGUAGCGGUGAAAUGCGUAGAUAUCAGGAGGAACACCUGUGGUGUAGACAGCUUACUGGACCAUAACUGACGCUGAGGCACGAAAGCGUGGGUAGCAAACAGG